GCCUUAAAUCUUUCUCAGGUCUAAAUAGAGUCCAAACGAGAAAGAAAGAUGGAGACCUUGCAAGAGCCCUCCAUACUGCUAUAGCUUUAAACCGGCCGCACAAUUAGUUCUCCAUUACAGUCUUGAAUACUACGUCCGUAGAGUUUCGACCUCCUUUAAGUUCAGUGGUGGUUUCAACGCCAAGGCUUUUGUCGUUUCAACUCUUCUUGGAGUAGCUUAGUAUAGCAGAAGCAGAUGAGAAUGCCUUGGAGUUGCGCAUCUGUGUGGCACUAAAUUGGGUAGAAGAAGCGACAAAGCAGCAGCUCAAUCCAAAUGUAGUUGGACUUCGCCUGAGGAUCUCUAGCUUUGAGCUAGACAUCUCGAAAUCUGCUUUGACACAUGCAGGUUGCCAGAGUACUCGUACGUCUAUAUCUGUUUGGGGAGAAAACGAUUUGGGUCAGUGCAUUUCGAACUACUAUAAGGUGCAACCAGAGUUCCUCCUCCCAUUUAUUUUCAAUUAGAAAAUCAUACAUUCCCCUGCCUUUUCAUUCAUUUGCCGGCUAUUACCAUUCAUUUAAUGUUUCUGCAUUGUGUCCAUCUAUAAAUUAAGAUGAGAAAAUAAAGGCGCAGGUUUACAGAGCGUGUUCAUUUCUCUAAGGAGCAUGAAAUUGCCUAUGCCCAACACCUUGUCAACAUGCAUAUGGCAAAUGAAAUUAGAGAGAAUAACAUCUCUAGCUAUGUGAUCACUGAAAUACAACGGGGGUUGAAUGCCUUAUACGACACCUCUUUCAGUUUCGAUAGUAUAAGAAGUAAAUAUAAUGCAAUGCGUGAAUUAACCAAGUUGUACAUUUUCUUCAAGAAAAGGGGAACAUGUGGGAUAGCCAAAAUCAUACCUUCCUUAUGGAUGAUGACAGGUGGAAAGAGAUGGAGCAGGUUAACCCAAAAUAUACCAAAUUUCAAAAUGAUUGCACCGUCUACCAUUUACUAAAAGAGGUGUUUGCCAAGCAAGGUGCAAUCGGAGAUUUUAGUGUAGGCUUCAAGAACGACCCUCGUAAUUCUAUUGAGGAGCUAGAAAUAGAAAAUGAAGCACGAGGUGCACGGGGAAAGGACGAGUUAGAGACUGAGGAGAAAGAUGCCGAGUUGGAGAUAGUUGGGUCGAAGAAAGAGAAAGGGAAAAAAGGAAAAGGAAAGCGCAAGUCUGAAGACACAUCAAGCUGAAGUCCCAUGGCCACUGCAUCUGGUUCAAUCACUGAUAGAUACUUUCAGGCCCUUAAUACCAUUGAGUUACUAGUUAGUCGGAAGAAAACUAGUAACAUGAGUGUAUCAAUUAGCUCUCCGACUAAGAAUGCUUCUAGGACCAGUUCAAAGAAAUCAGCAUACAAUAUUGCCUUGGUAGAACUUCGUCAAGUGGCUAAAGUGGACUGCAAUGCAAAAAUGGAAGUGGCAGAGAUUUUGAAUGACCCUCAAGAGCGCAUUAUUUGAGAUUUAGCUGGAUCGGAUGUCGAUCGCAUCCCAUUUAUGAAGCGUUGAGGCUGCCUUCCGCCUGAUUGGACUCCUCAAGAACCCUCUCCUCCCCUGUUUUAGUCUCUGGUUUCGAUAGGAGGCAAUCCUUAAGGUUGCCUAUUGUUGUGAUUGUUAGUUUGUGCUUGACAAGUAGCAUUUGCUAUCGGAUUCUAUUUUCUAUGUUUGCUGAGUCAUUUUAUUUCAGUAAUCCAAACCUUGCAUUGUGUGGUGUUGCCUUUUAUUGUUGACUGGAAAUGAUUUUCCACAAUUCAUCACUCUUAUUUGCCCAA